rnacentral:rRNA from 1 species
AUUGAACGCUGGCGGCAGGCCUAACACAUGCAAGUCGAACGGAGCGGCGGACGGGUGAGUAAUACCUAGGAAUCUGCCUGGUAGUGGGGGAUAACGUUCGGAAACGGACGCUAAUACCGCAUACUAUCAGAUGAGCCUUGGUCGGAUUAGCUAGUUGGUGAGGUAAUGGCUCACCAAGGCUACGAUCCGUAACUGGUCUGAGAGGAUGAUAAGUAACACUGGAACUGAGACACGGUCCCAACUCCUUCGGUAGGAAGAAGUGGGGAAUAUUGGAGAAUGGGCGAAAGCCUGAUCCAGCCAGGCCGCGUGUGUGAAGAAGGUCUUCGGAUUGUAAAGCACUUUAAGUUGGGAGGCGUUACCGACAGAAUAAGCACCGGCUAACUCUGUGCCAGCAGCCGCGGUAAUAC